rnacentral:rRNA from 1 species
UACGUAGGGGGCAAGCGUUGUCCGGAAUCAUUGGGCGUAAAGAGCUCGUAGGCGGUUUGUCGCGUCUGCUGUGAAAACCUAAGGCUCAACCUUGGGCUUGCAGUGGGUACGGGCAGACUAGAGUGCGGUAGGGGUGACUGGAAUUCCUGGUGUAGCGGUGGAAUGCGCAGAUAUCAGGAGGAACACCGAUGGCGAAGGCAGGUCACUGGGCCGCAACUGACGCUGAGGAGCGAAAGCGUGGGGAGCGAACAGG